rnacentral:rRNA from 1 species
UACAGAGGUCUCAAGCGUUGUUCGGAUUCAUUGGGCGUAAAGGGCGCGUAGGCGGCGGGGUAAGUCUGGUGUGAAAUCUAGGAGCUCAACUCCUAAACUGCACUGGAUACUGCUCUGCUAGAGGACUGGAGAGGAGACUGGAAUUCACGGUGUAGCAGUGAAAUGCGCAGAUAUCAGGAGGAACACCGAUGGCGAAGGCAGCUCGCUGGGACGGUACUGACGCUGAGGCGCGAAAGCGUGGGGAGCAAACAGG